AGGACGUCGAAGGUGGGGCUGAUGACUGGGGUGAAGUCGUAACAAGGUAUCCGUACCGGAAGGUGCGGAUGGAUCACCUCCUAACAGGGAGACAACACAAUGAUUUUGAUGCCUGAGUGCUUUUAUUCUUAGGCCGAAAUCCUGUCACCUUAGGUCGAUCGGUACCUCAGCUUUGAAGUCAAGGAUCAGCAGCAAUGUUGAUUGCUUGAUGGAGAUUUUCAGUUCCUAAACUUUGUCUAGGUCACACCCCAAAAGGGAUGAGACUCCUGGGCCAUUAGCUCAGGUGGUUAGAGCGCACCCCUGAUAAGGGUGAGGUCCCUGGUUCAAGUCCAGGAUGGCCCAUUCGGUGUUGGGGGUUUAGCUCAGUUGGUAGAGCGCCUGCUUUGCAAGCAGGAUGUCAGGAGUUCGAGUCUCCUAACCUCCACUGACCGAACUUGAUUCCCAUCUCCAAUUCUUUUGGAGUUGAGCUCGAUUGGAGUGUGAUUUAGAUGUGUCCGCUGGAUGACCCCAGCUUCCUGUCAUUCCAAGUUUUAGGUUGAUGCCUUGAAUUUGGUUGAUAAGAUGCUGGGCUCAGAUCAAAUGAUUAAGCAAUUGAUGAUUUGAUUUGAAGUUCUAGCAGAACCUUGACAACUGCAUAGGUGAGUCUGGAAAAAACAAAGCAUCUUACAGAUGCAUUGUUUUGAAUCUGAUCUUCUGAAAAGGAGAUUGGAUCUAGAACAAUGAAAAUUCUUUUGAGCAAGAGCCGAGACUCUUGAGCGUUCUUUGAUUGGUGUCGAGCCAAUCAGAGUUUGAUCUUGUUUUUAGUAAUAAAAACUUGAGAAUCUGCUUUCAACGGCGGUAAGCGUUCAGGAGGUUAAUUGGUCAAGCUACAAAGGGCUCACGGCG
rnacentral:misc_RNA from 1 species